CCUCUUUCUUAUCUUCUGAAUGAGUUAGAGAUUCAGGAAGUACCGAAUGACCUCAAGGACCUAAUAUCCUCAAUUCUACCAGAACUGGAAGAAUUGGAAGAGGACUCUGAGCAUCAGAUAAGAACACCGGCUAGAUAACACCUUGGUUUCCGCCUUGUGAUACCAUGAGCAGAGAACCUAGCUGCGGUAUGCCUGGACUGGUGAUCUACAGACAUGUUAGACAAUCUCAUUCUAAGCCUCUGCACUUGUGGAUAUUUUUUAAUGCAGAAUUAGAAAACUAAUAAUGUCAGAUUGGGUAAAUUGUGUUUUUCAGAAAAUUUGUUCAUUGUUUCCAAGUUGUAAAAUUUAUACAUGUAAACAUGUUCAUAAAUUUUUAUAUUUUCG
rnacentral:lncRNA from 1 species